rnacentral:rRNA from 1 species
UACGGGGGGAGCAAGCGUUGUUCGGAUUUACUGGGCGUAAAGGGCGCGUAGGCGGUCAGCACAAGUCAGUUGUGAAAUCUCCGGGCUUAACUCGGAAAGGUCAACUGAUACUGUGCGACUAGAGUGCAGAAGGGGCAACUGGAAUUCUUGGUGUAGCGGUGAAAUGCGUAGAUAUCGGAAGGAACAUCAGUGGCGAAAGCGGCUUCCUGGACCAGCACCGACGUUCAGGCACGAAAGCGUGGGGAGCAAACAGG